rnacentral:rRNA from 1 species
UACGAAGGGGGCUAGCGUUGCUCGGAAUCACUGGGCGUAAAGGGUGCGUAGGCGGGUUUUUAAGUCAGAGGUGAAAUCCUGGAGCUCAACUCCAGAACUGCCUUUGAUACUGAAAGUCUUGAGUAUGGGAGAGGUGAGUGGAACUGCGAGUGUAGAGGUGAAAUUCGUAGAUAUUCGCAAGAACACCAGUGGCGAAGGCGGCUCACUGGCCCAUAACUGACGCUGAGGCACGAAAGCGUGGGGAGCAAACAGGGAUUAAGAUACCC